rnacentral:hammerhead_ribozyme from 1 species
GUACUCCUGAUGAGUCCCACAAUAGGACGAAACAGUCGUCCAGUGC